rnacentral:rRNA from 1 species
UACGAAGGGUGCAAGCGUUACUCGGAAUUACUGGGCGUAAAGCGUGCGUAGGUGGUGAGUUAAGUCUGAUGUGAAAUCCCCGGGCUCAACCUGGGAAUGGCAUUGGAUACUGGCUCGCUGGGGUGCGGUAGAGGGUGGUGGAAUUCCCGGUGUAGCAGUGAAAUGCGUAGAGAUCGGGAGGAACAUCUGUGGCGAAGGCGGCCACCUGGACCAGCACUGACACUGAGGCACGAAAGCGUGGGGAGCAAACAGG